UAGCAUGCAGCUUGUGAGUCGCCACGUCAGCUCGCUAGAGUAUUUAAGCAGUUCCAUAUAUAAAUUCAAGGCCUUUUCAGAAAUCUACGCAAGCCGUUUGCUCGUUAUUUCACUUUAAUGGCUGCCCCGGUUCAACCUGCCCCCGAAGCUUUGCAAGCGCUCGUUGGAGCUGCUGUCGCUCAGGGAGCUGACGCGGUUCCUGGAGACUAACAAACGCCUAUUGAAAGCAAUGAGCUCGGGCAGUUGAGAGAGCGGAUUGAGGAGCUGCGCAAGCUACAAGACUCGGGGUCUGUGGACUCAACGCUUCGCCAUCUAAGAGAAAUGUUGGCCAAGAAGUUGCCAUAGCUAAAGAGAUUCAGAAAGCGCUUAAAUCUGCGUCCUCUGCAACUCCUCGGCGCUUAGAGUCUGGCCCGUACUACUGAGACUCGUGUCCUUCUGUAAUAUGUUAUUUCUGUGGUCGCAGAGGACACAUAAGCAGAAACUGUUAUGCCAAACGAGGUGGUCGUGGCCAAGGUCGCGGCUAUUAAUAUGAUCGAGUCAUUGUUUCAAUUUCAUGUUAAUGUAUUUCUCUAUAAAGGGUUAAUUCCAGGUGUAGUUACUUCAUUUUUCCCGCUUCUCUGUGGAAUAUUUUUAUUAUACUUUAUAUCUUCACAGUUUACAUACUCGUGGUUUUUAUUACAUAUUAUUAGUGAAUGUAUUCAAUGGAAGCUAUUUUGCAUAGUUAUACACUCUUUCCGUAAUUUUAGGGGAAAUCUAAAUCAACUCCCUAUAGCUUGUCUUCGGACGGGCUUCUUAUAUCCAAUAUCGUAAGAUCGAGGUAAUUUCUCAUAUAUUUCACUGUAUUUUCGCCGGGAGAAAGGACGCCAUCGAAAAAUCGAGGUUAUUGUAAAAAAAUUUUGUUGUUUCAGAGUUUUAUAUGGGGGUUGGGGGGUGAAUUAACCCCUGCGAAAUGAACUCCCAAGAUUUGGGAGCUCCUAGGAUUUCCUAGGAUAUCCUGGAUACUCCUAAAUAUUGGGAAAUUGAAUUUGGGAGUAUCUAGGAAAACAUGGGAGCCAAAUGCGCGCCUCUGAUCAUUUGGGAGUUCCUGGGAUAUCCUAGGAACUCCCGAAUCCUCGGCUAUUCUCCUAGAUUCUCCCCAAAAGUUGGGAAACCCAGCGCUUGCUAAACAUCUCGGACAAAAUUGCACAGUUUUCUAAAAAGAGUCUUAUGGAGGACAAGCCCAUCGCAGGUUUGCUGGCAUCUCUGCUAAUUAUUAUUAUAAUAAUAGAGGGGAAGAAGGAACAACUCAACUGAAUUAUUCGCUGAUGACAACAGUAAAGAAAAUAAAUGACUUCAUAAAUCUUCUCGCGUAUGUUUAUUUUCAAAUAACAUGAUGGAAACUUGAUUUGUAAAUCACUGUUAAAGUCAAUUUAUUCAUUUCCCAAAAUUUAAUUGGAAAAAUUUUAAGGUCUACAGUCUUUCAUUUGUAUUUUGGAAUUGCUGUCGUAUGGGUAGCUCUAGCAUGGGAUAGCUGUGGUAUGCUUAGCCAAUCAGAUGCCAGGUUUUUGGCGGGCUUUUUCCCGCGCGUCGCGUUCAAAAGUGAUGUCCCGCUCGCCACAACUUCAAAAGGAGUCCAAACCAUUGUUGUGAGAGGGGUUUCGCCGAGGAUUUCACGCCAAAUACACCCAGUUUUCAUCUUAUUUUAGCACUUCUGCUGAUUAAACAACUAUCUGCAGCGGUGCAGCAAGUAGGAGACUUGGAUGCUUCUUACCAGGUGGUUGAGGAAUGCCGUUGCCACAGUAGCGAAGCCAGCACACUGGUGUCUUGGGAAGCUGGUAGACGUAGAAUGCACCGCAGUUCCUGACUUUGAUGUAGUUGCUCCAUCUGCAGCAGUUUUUAGUCCAGUGGUAGCACACCUUGCGAGUCACCAUACCUUGGGCUACAGUGGGAUGAGCUCCCACCAUCCACCCAGGCGCGUGGGUUCCACAGCGUUUUUCAAGUACACAACUUGUUGGCAUAGCAUUGCCUGCUUGUCCAGUGAAACGGUACCACAGGUUACCUGGAAACUCAUUCUUGUCACAGCGGAGGGCAUUUUGUGCGGUAUUGGCCAUUGCACGAUCGGCUCCGUGUAACAUUGUGUACGAUCUGCAUUCUAAAGAAAAACACAGCUUUUGAUUUAUCGGAUAUCAUCUUUUUUUUUUGUAAAUUGUCUUAGUAAGUAUUUUUAUCAACAUGUCGAUCACAUACUAUUGUUUAGGAAUACUAGUUCAUUUUAUUGUAUUGUUUUUAGACAGUCAUGAAAAUUAAUAGCAUCCAAAAGUAUAGCCUGCGUAGCAAGCGUUUCUUUAGAGUUUCAGCAGGAAUAGUAUAGAGAGCGAUACGCAGGCUACCAAAAGUAUUAUUAGCCAGCUAGCAAGGUUAAUACAUCAUUUAUUAUAUGGCUAUUUAAAUUUAUUUGAGAAGACAUUUCAAUGGGAGAAGGGAAACCACGCAAGUCAAGUUUCGUUGAUUUGUUGUGCUAGGUAAGGAAAAAGUCAAAUUUCGUUCUAAAGAUGCAAAAUUCUGUUAGCGCAUCGGACCCCUGAGAUGGGAAUAUCUCGGCUACUAAUCACAUCGUGCGGUACGAUUAUAAUAUGUCUUCUUACAAUAUUUACCUGAUGGGGGGUAAUAUGCGCGCGGCUUGAUGUCGAGCUUCUCAUCUGUCAGAAAAAAACAUUACAUCAAAUUAAAAUCCUUUAAAAAUCGAAUUCCGUUUUUAUUAAGAAGUAAUUUAGUCAGUUAGUAGGAUGGAUUGAAAUUUACCGUAAUUAAAUCUCACUAAAGAUUGACAUCUCAUUUGCAUAGAGUUUCAUAGCCUACGAAACCACCCGUCACAAGAGUCGGAUCGACAGGCGCGUGACAGUUCAAAAGACAGGAAUGUGAAAACGUCAACCUCCCGCGUACAUCGAAAGCACCGGACGUCAUCUAUAUUUGAAACCGCGCCUUAGGCUUUUUUGUUGACUUGAACGGAAUCCUUUUCUAAAAGUUGAAUAUGAAAUCAAGUCCCACUGGGCUAUCGAAAAGAGCUUUUUAAAGCUCUAUACAAAAGAAAUAGCUUUCAACCUUGAUUCUCCAACAAUGAUCGAAAAAUCGAUAUCUUUACAAUGCGACGUUCGCUACCGACAGUCUUGUAAGCAAUAAAAGAUGAUCGACAUUAACUUCAACAAGCCCAACACCGUGGCAAUAGAAUGCUUCAGUACUCAUCGGCGAACGCCAGAAUCCUCCUAGAUACAAAGUCUGUAUGUACCAAACAAUGAUUCUCACAAGCGAGAUCUCGGCUCAGUGUUGCCACUCUAUAAAUCAAUUCAAACUUAAUUUUUAUAUUAAUCAGAAAUGUUAAACAUAUCUUGGAAUUCGAGAAAUUUAACGGAUCCUCUCGAAAACCAUUAUGAGUAUCAAGCUAAAAUACGAAUAACCACUCACCUUCAGUGUUGGAGCUUUCUUGAGUGUUCUCCUUGGCAAGGCAUCCAUAAAGCAAAGCAAAAACCUUGGGAGAGAAAUGUUGAAGCUAAGUUAUCCCGACACACUCAAUUAUUUUAACAAGUAUCCAGGUGAACGCCCUUUAACCACUAGGUCGUGCCAAUGAAGACACUUUAGCUAAGACUUGGAUUCAUUUUAGAAAACUUAAAAGAAAAGAGCCCAGAAGACGAUCGUGAUUAAGCCGGAUUUGUAGUACUUAUCAGAUAAACUUUUAGUUAAUAUUUUUGUUUCGCGACCGUGAUUAUACCAGCUAACAGAAUCGCUUCGAUACCACUAAAUUUCCAAUAUGCUAUAGUUUAUAAAACUUUAUAAAAGUAUGGAAAUCAGUAAAUCUUGGCGGCACGCUGCUCGAGCUUCUGAUAAAUUCUUUGUUAAAAGACUGACUACUCCAUACAGAAGACGCACACAAAUGCACUUACUAGUAUCCACGAGCAGACCAGCUUCAUCUUGGCGAAGAGGUUUUCGGUGAAAGCAGAUGUGGCUAACCCAGUUGCUUGAGCUUACCUCGCUCAAUGGAUAUUUCGAGGUGUGACUUUAGUUUUAUCAACUUCUUUGUCCCCGCCUCCUCGAAUGAUUGACAGUUUUAAAAAGAGAGCCUCUUAGGAAUUUACAAGUAUAAAAGGCCUUUUUCAAAGGAAGAUGUUUUACUGAAUAUGCUUCCUUCCCAUCUCAUUCCAUAUAGCACACGUUAUAACAAAUGAAACGGGCCUUAGAUUAUUACAACUAUCUUCAUCGUUAGAAUUGGCGCGAAAUUCGAACGUGCGUUAUCAGUUGAACUUGCCCCUCCCUGGGGACAUUAGCAUGCAGCUUGUGAGUCGCCACGUCAGCUCGCUAGAGUAUUUAAGCAGUUCCAUAUAUAAAUUCAAGGCCUUUUCAGAAAUCUACGCAAGCCGUUUGCUCGUUAUUUCACUUUAAUGGCUGCCCCGGUUCAACCUGCCCCCGAAGCUUUGCAAGCGCUCGUUGGAGCUGCUGUCGCUCAGGGAGCUGACGCGGUUCCUGGAGACUAACAAACGCCUAUUGAAAGCAAUGAGCUCGGGCAGUUGAGAGAGCGGAUUGAGGAGCUGCGCAAGCUACAAGACUCGGGGUCUGUGGACUCAACGCUUCGCCAUCUAAGAGAAAUGUUGGCCAAGAAGUUGCCAUAGCUAAAGAGAUUCAGAAAGCGCUUAAAUCUGCGUCCUCUGCAACUCCUCGGCGCUUAGAGUCUGGCCCGUACUACUGAGACUCGUGUCCUUCUGUAAUAUGUUAUUUCUGUGGUCGCAGAGGACACAUAAGCAGAAACUGUUAUGCCAAACGAGGUGGUCGUGGCCAAGGUCGCGGCUAUUAAUAUGAUCGAGUCAUUGUUUCAAUUUCAUGUUAAUGUAUUUCUCUAUAAAGGGUUAAUUCCAGGUGUAGUUACUUCAUUUUUCCCGCUUCUCUGUGGAAUAUUUUUAUUAUACUUUAUAUCUUCACAGUUUACAUACUCGUGGUUUUUAUUACAUAUUAUUAGUGAAUGUAUUCAAUGGAAGCUAUUUUGCAUAGUUAUACACUCUUUCCGUAAUUUUAGGGGAAAUCUAAAUCAACUCCCUAUAGCUUGUCUUCGGACGGGCUUCUUAUAUCCAAUAUCGUAAGAUCGAGGUAAUUUCUCAUAUAUUUCACUGUAUUUUCGCCGGGAGAAAGGACGCCAUCGAAAAAUCGAGGUUAUUGUAAAAAAAUUUUGUUGUUUCAGAGUUUUAUAUGGGGGUUGGGGGGUGAAUUAACCCCUGCGAAAUGAACUCCCAAGAUUUGGGAGCUCCUAGGAUUUCCUAGGAUAUCCUGGAUACUCCUAAAUAUUGGGAAAUUGAAUUUGGGAGUAUCUAGGAAAACAUGGGAGCCAAAUGCGCGCCUCUGAUCAUUUGGGAGUUCCUGGGAUAUCCUAGGAACUCCCGAAUCCUCGGCUAUUCUCCUAGAUUCUCCCCAAAAGUUGGGAAACCCAGCGCUUGCUAAACAUCUCGGACAAAAUUGCACAGUUUUCUAAAAAGAGUCUUAUGGAGGACAAGCCCAUCGCAGGUUUGCUGGCAUCUCUGCUAAUUAUUAUUAUAAUAAUAGAGGGGAAGAAGGAACAACUCAACUGAAUUAUUCGCUGAUGACAACAGUAAAGAAAAUAAAUGACUUCAUAAAUCUUCUCGCGUAUGUUUAUUUUCAAAUAACAUGAUGGAAACUUGAUUUGUAAAUCACUGUUAAAGUCAAUUUAUUCAUUUCCCAAAAUUUAAUUGGAAAAAUUUUAAGGUCUACAGUCUUUCAUUUGUAUUUUGGAAUUGCUGUCGUAUGGGUAGCUCUAGCAUGGGAUAGCUGUGGUAUGCUUAGCCAAUCAGAUGCCAGGUUUUUGGCGGGCUUUUUCCCGCGCGUCGCGUUCAAAAGUGAUGUCCCGCUCGCCACAACUUCAAAAGGAGUCCAAACCAUUGUUGUGAGAGGGGUUUCGCCGAGGAUUUCACGCCAAAUACACCCAGUUUUCAUCUUAUUUUAGCACUUCUGCUGAUUAAACAACUAUCUGCAGCGGUGCAGCAAGUAGGAGACUUGGAUGCUUCUUACCAGGUGGUUGAGGAAUGCCGUUGCCACAGUAGCGAAGCCAGCACACUGGUGUCUUGGGAAGCUGGUAGACGUAGAAUGCACCGCAGUUCCUGACUUUGAUGUAGUUGCUCCAUCUGCAGCAGUUUUUAGUCCAGUGGUAGCACACCUUGCGAGUCACCAUACCUUGGGCUACAGUGGGAUGAGCUCCCACCAUCCACCCAGGCGCGUGGGUUCCACAGCGUUUUUCAAGUACACAACUUGUUGGCAUAGCAUUGCCUGCUUGUCCAGUGAAACGGUACCACAGGUUACCUGGAAACUCAUUCUUGUCACAGCGGAGGGCAUUUUGUGCGGUAUUGGCCAUUGCACGAUCGGCUCCGUGUAACAUUGUGUACGAUCUGCAUUCUAAAGAAAAACACAGCUUUUGAUUUAUCGGAUAUCAUCUUUUUUUUUUGUAAAUUGUCUUAGUAAGUAUUUUUAUCAACAUGUCGAUCACAUACUAUUGUUUAGGAAUACUAGUUCAUUUUAUUGUAUUGUUUUUAGACAGUCAUGAAAAUUAAUAGCAUCCAAAAGUAUAGCCUGCGUAGCAAGCGUUUCUUUAGAGUUUCAGCAGGAAUAGUAUAGAGAGCGAUACGCAGGCUACCAAAAGUAUUAUUAGCCAGCUAGCAAGGUUAAUACAUCAUUUAUUAUAUGGCUAUUUAAAUUUAUUUGAGAAGACAUUUCAAUGGGAGAAGGGAAACCACGCAAGUCAAGUUUCGUUGAUUUGUUGUGCUAGGUAAGGAAAAAGUCAAAUUUCGUUCUAAAGAUGCAAAAUUCUGUUAGCGCAUCGGACCCCUGAGAUGGGAAUAUCUCGGCUACUAAUCACAUCGUGCGGUACGAUUAUAAUAUGUCUUCUUACAAUAUUUACCUGAUGGGGGGUAAUAUGCGCGCGGCUUGAUGUCGAGCUUCUCAUCUGUCAGAAAAAAACAUUACAUCAAAUUAAAAUCCUUUAAAAAUCGAA